rnacentral:tRNA from 1 species
AAGAAAUUAGUUAAUUUUUUUAUAAUAUAGAUUUGUCAAAUCUAAGUAAUCUUUUAGAUAUUUCUUA